AAGUAUUCGUGCGAUCGAAUGCUUCUCUAAUAUCCCCGGGAAGGAGAAUGGCGUUGCUUCUUGGUCGCUCUCGUAUCCAAAAGCUUGCCCUAAUCCCCCAUUUGUAUCGAGGAGGGCAUACAUCGCAACUCGAUUUAACUGAUGAUCAGAUGAGGAACAAACCCUGAUUUUGGCUUCAAUUGAUGCUAGGGCUUCUAAAUUGGGAGCCUGGUAAAUCGAUUUAGAUGGAUGGGAACAAAGAUGAUGCUUUGAAAUGCCUGAGAAUUGGGAAAGUCGCUUUGGAAUCUGGAGACAAGGGUCGUGCCCUCAAAUUUCUCUCCAAAGCUCAUCGCUUGGACCCUAGCCUCCCCAUUGAUGAACUCUUGUCGGCCGCCCUUGGUGGAGAAUCUCAAGAUGAGUCAUCAUCUUCUAAUGGUGUCAAUCCAUCAGAUGCUCCACCUGCAGAAGAGGCUGGCAACACGGACUCUGCUUUUGCUUCAACAGCAUCCUCAUCUACAACUGCCAGAACUAGGAUUUCUUCAAAUGGAUCUGCAGCUAGGGGCUGUACACAGGAGCAGAUUGCCAUAGUGAGGGAGAUUAAAAAACAGAAGGAUUUCUACAAGAUCUUAGAUUUAGAGAGGAAUUGCACAAUUGAAGAUGUCCGCAAGGCCUAUAGGAAGAUAUCUUUGAAGGUUCACCCAGACAAAAACAGUGCACCUGGCUCUGAUGAAGCCUUUAAAGCUGUAUCCAAGGCUUUUCAGUGUCUCAGCAAUGAAGAGAGCCGGAAAAGAUAUGAUCUUGUGGGAUCCGAGGAGCUGAAUUAUGGUGUUGGUAGGCCUGCAGCCAGAAAUAACUAUCAUGGGUUUAAUGGGUUUUAUGAAUCUGAUUUUGAUGCUGAUGAGAUAUUUAGGAAUUUUUUCUUUGGUGGAGGGCCAAUGCAAACCACUCCUUUUGGGACAUUUCACUUUAGGACUGGAGGCAUGGGCAGGCACACAGCUAAUGAGAUGCAUGGUGGUGGUGGUGGUUCUAACCUUCGGAUUCUGAUCCAAAUCUUGCCUGUUAUUCUAUUACUUUUACUGAACUUCCUUCCAUCCUCAGAGCCUGUAUACUCGCUUUCUCAGAGUUACCAACAUGACUACAAGGUUGAAACUCCAAGAGGUGUGCCAUAUUAUGUUAAGCGGGAUAAAUUUGAAAAAGACUAUCCUUACCAAAGUUCAGAGCGGCUUGCUCUGGAGAAACGUAUUGAAAGGGAGUACAUUGGCAUCUUAAGUCAGAAUUGUCGAGUUGAAUUGCAGCGGCAACGCUGGGGUCUAUCAUAUGAAACCCCUUACUGUGACAUGCUGCAGAAGUUUGAUUAGGCAAUCUGAGGUCAUUGCCUGGAGGUCUUAUCCAUAAUAUGGGCAUCUGGCAAUGCAUGACCUUCUACUAUGCCAUUUGGCAUAAGUGGCUUGACAAGUCGGAGUUGAUUUCACAUAUCAUUGCCAACCAAGGAAAUUGGUGAUAUUACUCUUAAAAUGGGGUUGCAUUGUUGAGGUAAGCGCAUAAAAUGGUGCUGCAUUGUUGCAUUGGUGCAAACUUGUUAAAUAGGAAAAGAGAUUGAGAAUGUUCACCCUUUAUUUUUAUUUUUUUUUAAAAAAAGAAAUACUUAUCUUUUUGUUUUUGAAGGAACAACCACCUCUUAUAUCCUAAUCCCAUUUGUAUUCUUUUUGUGUUGAGUGCUUAGUCACAGAGAUGACCAUUACAACUUGCAGAUAAUCUGUAAACCUACGUAUAGGCAUGUAUGCUGUUUUCUGCAAAUCAGCAUUGGAUCAAUGAUUUAGAACAUGAGCAUUUGAUGGAGA